GACGAACGCUGGCGGCGUGCUUAACACAUGCAAGUCGAACGAAGAGCGAUGGAAGCUUGCUUCUAUCAAUCUUAGUGGCGAACGGGUGAGUAACGCGUAAUCAACCUGCCCUUCAGAGGGGGACAACAGUUGGAAACGACUGCUAAUACCGCAUACGAUCUAAUCUCGGCAUCGAGGAUAGAUGAAAGGUGGCCUCUACAUGUAAGCUAUCACUGAAGGAGGGGAUUGCGUCUGAUUAGCUAGUUGGAGGGGUAACGGCCCACCAAGGCGAUGAUCAGUAGCCGGUCUGAGAGGAUGAACGGCCACAUUGGGACUGAGACACGGCCCAGACUCCUACGGGAGGCAGCAGUGGGGAAUCUUCCGCAAGGGACGAAAGUCUGACGGAGCAACGCCGCGUGAGUGAUGACGGCCUUCGGGUUGUAAAGCUCUGUUAAUCGGGACGAAAGGCCUUCUUGCGAAUAGUGAGAAGGAUUGACGGUACCGGAAUAGAAAGCCACGGCUAACUACGUG
rnacentral:rRNA from 1 species